ACGUACACUCCUGCGGGAGGCAGCAGUGAGGAAUAUUGGACAAUGGGUGGAAGCCUGAUCCAGCCAUCCCGCGUGCAGGAAGACGGCCCUAUGGGUUGUAAACUGCUUUUAUCUGGGGAUAAACCUACUUACGUGUAAGUAGCUGAAGGUACCAGAAGAAUAAGCACCGGCUAACUCCGUGCCAGCAGCCGCGGUAAUACGGAGGGUGCAAGCGUUAUCCGGAUUUAUUGGGUUUAAAGGGUCCGUAGGCGGACUGAUAAGUCAGUGGUGAAAUCCGACAGCUUAACUGUCGAACUGCCAUUGAUACUGUUAGUCUUGAGUAAGGUUGAAGUGGCUGGAAUAAGUAGUGUAGCGGUGAAAUGCAUAGAUAUUACUUAGAACACCAAUUGCGAAGGCAGGUCACUAAGUCUUAACUGACGCUGAUGGACGAAAGCGUGGGGAGCGAACAGGAUUAGAAACCCUUGUAGUCCCAUG
rnacentral:rRNA from 1 species